AACGAACGCUGGCGGCAGGCCUAACACAUGCAAGUCUAACGGGCACCUUCAGGUGUCAGUGGCAGGCGGGUGAGUAACGCGUGGGAAUUUGCCUAGUGGUACGGAAUAACCAAGGGAAACUUUGGCUAAUACCGCAUAAGCCCUUCGGGGUAAGGAUUAUCGCCAUUAGAGAAGCCCGCGUCGGAUUAGCUAGUUGGUGGGGUAACGGCCUACCAAGGCAACGAUCCGUAGCUGGUCUGAGAGGA
rnacentral:rRNA from 1 species